UACAGAGGGUGCGAGCGUUGUUCGGAAUUACUGGGCGUAAAGCGCGCGCAGGCGGCUCUUUAAGUCUGACGGUGAAAUGCCGGGGCUCAACCCCGUGCCCGCCGGAGAUACUGGAGAGCUGGAGACGAGUAGAGGCAAGCGGAAUUCCGGGUGUAGCGGUGGAAUGCGUAGAGAUCCGGAAGAACACCGGAGGCGAAGGCGGCUUGCUGGGCUCGGUCUGACGCUGAGGCGCGAAAGCGUGGGGAGCGAACAGG
rnacentral:rRNA from 1 species